rnacentral:rRNA from 1 species
UAGGGAAUCUUCCGCAAUGGACGCAAGUCUGACGGAGCAACGCCGCGUGAGUGAAGAAGGAUUUCGGUUCGUAAAACUUUGUUGUUAGAGAAGAACAGCGCAUAGAGUAACUGUUAUGCGUGUGACGGUAUCUAACCAGAAAGCCACGGCUAACUACGUGCCAGCAGCCGCGGUAAUACGUAGGUGGCAAGCGUUGUUCGGAUUUAUUGGGCGUAAAGCGAGCGCAGGCGGUCAAUUAAGUCUGAUGUGAAAGCCCCCGGCUCAACCGGGGAGAGUCAUUGGAAACUGGUUGACUUCAGUGCAGAAGAGGAAAGUGGAAUUCCAUGUUUGACGGUGAAAUGCGUAGGUAUAUGGUGGAACACCAGUAGCGAAGGCGACUCUCUGGUCUGUAACUGACGCUGAGGCUCGAAAGCGUGGGUAGCAAACAGG